UGAGGAGAUCCACCUACGACCUUGGGUCCUCAGACCAGCCAGCCCAAGGAACAUCUCACCAAUUUCAAAUCGGAUCUCCUUGGCUCAACAGCUGAAGACUGACGCUGCCCAAUCGCUUUGGAAGCUCCGGGACUAUCACGGACCCCGAGCUUCGAGUAACUCUUACAGUGGAGGAGAUGGGUUUUCACUAUGUUGCUCAGAUUGACCUUGAACACCUGGACUCAAG
rnacentral:lncRNA from 10 species